UUCUCACGAAAAUUGAUGAAGAAGACCGUUUUACCCCGCACCUUCACGCUCCCACACGAACGCUUAAUCCACAAGGAUAAAAGAACCCCCCAGGUUCCACUCCUCUUAUCCCCAAAAACUCCAGGAAACAGCACGAUGCUGCUAACAAUGUCCCUCACAUCCUCACUCAACUCCCUUACUCUCUCCACUCCAUUCCUCCAUGGAACAACCCAACUUUCUCACUUGUCAAAACCCACUUCUUCUCUCUCUCUCCGACCCACGAAGCCCUUCACUUUCCUCCCUCCAAUCAGGGCCAUGAAGUCAAUGCAAGGCAAAGUUGUUUGUGCAACAAGUGACAAAACUGUGGCUGUUGAGGUUACAAGGUUGGCCCCACAUCCUAAGUACAAGAGACGGGUGAGGAAGAAGAAGAAGUACCAGGCUCAUGACCCUGAGAAUCAGUUCAAAGUUGGGGACUUGGUCCAGCUUGAAAAGAGCAAACCCAUUAGCAAGACUAAAAGUUUUCUUGCUGUGCCUGUACCAGCUAGGAAGAAGAAGGAGAAGAAAGAGGGUGAGGAGGGAGGAGUGGGGUCUCAAGAGCUUGGAAUUCCAUUGGAGUCUCAACAGGAACUGCAGGCUUAAUGUAUUUUUGGAAUUAGCAGAUGGUUAAUUGCUGAGAGAUUCAAAGCAGUAAUGUUUCUAGUCAACAAGAGCAAGGAAAGGUAGAAGGAAAAAAAAAUGUUGAAGUGCGUUUGUAAAGGGGUGCCCAAAGAGCUUAAGAUUUCUGUUGGAGUUUCAGCAGGAGCAAUUUCAUAGAGUGAAAUGCUCUUGCUUGUUAGUGAUUUUUAGAACUUGGUAUUUGGUAUCUGAUUUUAUAGUGUUGUAUAAUAGGUACAAUAUGGACAGGCUUUGCGUUUCUGCAGUGAAAUAAAUGCAAGUUGCUAAUAUUUCAAUGAAUUGGUGGUGCAUUUUGAGUGGGGUUGA